rnacentral:lncRNA from 1 species
CAGACCGGCGCGGGGCGCUGCGGCCCAACUCCUUAGUAGGACGACGUGACUCGAGGGGCCGGAGGACGGAGGGCUCCUCCUCAUCCCUGGAGGUUCCAGGGAUCUGGCAGAGAAAGAAGCCCAGUCUCACAGCAAUGACUCCUGAACAUCCUUUGCAAACACUAUUUAGGACAGAUGGACUGAAGUAGGCCCUGGGGAGAGUUGGGGGCAUUUCCGGAGGCCAGACCAAAGGUGAUCUCCAGGAGAUUUGGAUGUUAGUGCAGGAUAGCUCAGAGCCAAGUGGCAGAUAAGUCUUUGGGAGCCAGAAGGGCUCUUUCUUCUCUAAGGAACAAGUGUAGACCUAUAGGGGCAAGAACCUGUGGCAACCCUGGGAGAGGUCUGCAGAUUCAGGAGGGAACAUCCCAAAACUCAGCAGAGGAGGAGAGGGAGCUUUUGUUGGUCACCUGGAACCACUACCAAUCCAUGUUCAUGUCAAAUUAAAUGAUCACUUUGAA